rnacentral:rRNA from 1 species
UACGUAGGGUGCAAGCGUUGUUCGGAUUUACUGGGCGUAAAGGGCGUGUAGGCGGAAAAAUAAGCUAUAGGUGAAAGCCCGGGGCUCAACCCCGGAAGAGCUUACAGAACUGUUUUUCUAGAGAGAGUCAGAGGUUAGCGGAAUUCCUGGUGUAGAGGUGAAAUUCGUAGAUAUCAGGAGGAACACCGGCGGCGAAGGCGGCUAACUGGGGCUUUUCUGACGCUGAGGCGCGAAAGCAUGGGGAUCAAACAGGAUUAGAUACCCUGGUAGUCCAUGCUGUAAACGAUGGAUACUAGAUGUCUGGGACUUCGGUCUUGGGUGUCGCAGCUAACGCAUUAAGUAUCCCGCCUGGGAAGUACGGUCGCAAGACUA